ACACUUAUAGUCUGAGCUCCAUCGCACAACCAAACGCCUACGCACGCCGUCACAGCCGCCUCCGCUGCCAGGAAAGCCUCCCCGUCGUCUUCGCUCCCACCACCGGAGUCGCCGUUUGCUCUUCGGCCUCUGUAGUUGAAGUUCGUCGGCCUGUUCUCCGAAGUUGUCGCACACUCGCACUGAACUACUGAAGGUCGAAACCCUCGUCCUAAACCCUUGAGUCGCCGUCUGCUUUCCGGCCUCCGCAGCAGAAGUCCGUCGCCCUGUUCUACGAAGCCGUCGCACUGAACUACUGAAGGCCGAAGCCGUCGCUCCGAGUGGCUCUCCGGCCUCCGCAACCGCAAGCUGCACAGCGGCUAACUAUUGUGCUAAUGAAAGAGGACAUGGCCGGACAUAGAGAAGAGCAAAUGCAGCUAAGUAGUACUGCUAUAUUGGAGGUUUGGUUGAGAUGCAAUUUACUUUGUUUUUUUCCAACAUUUUUGGAAGUGGUUUUAUUAUAUACAAGUGACAUUACUACUGGGAAUUUGUCCCCAAAAUGCCUUCUUGAUUACUUGGACCUAUCAUCGGAGUAUACAGCUUCAGAAAUUGCUAAUAGAAUUGAGGCUGCAAUGCAUAUCUGGAGGCAGAAGCACAAAAAGAAGCAAUUAAAACCGAUAUGGAUUCCAUGAGGAUGGAUUAUAGGUUGUUAAAGAAGAGUUGCAGUCCUCUGGACAACUCAAAAGACAUGGUACCUUUCGUUAGGAUGGUAUGAUCACUUUUCCAUUUUCAUAUCCAAGUUGGUAAAUUUAGUAAUUUCAUUAGAAAUGAUUGACAAGUAGCAACCCAGGUUGAUCUUGGCCUAGCAGAUGCGUACAUUCAUGGAGACACUCUUUUGUAGAUAAAACAAGUCUUAUUAAUAUUUUCAAGAUGAGGGAGAAAAAAAGAUUAUUGGCUGAAGAACAGGUUACAAAUUCUUGAGAUUAUAAAUUGGAGCUAACCGGGUGAUUGACUAAAAGAUGAAACACAAGCGCCCUCUGAAGAUUAAGUACUUUAUGUUUUUAAAACUUUUUUGUGUGUAUGACAAUAGUGCAUUGUUUAAAUAUUUAUGGAU